CCCAGUGGAUCUUAUUUUCCGAAAGCCAAUUGGACAAAAUAUCUACUGAUGUUCUCGUAGACAAAGGAGCAUAAAUUGACCUCAGGUUUACCCCUAAACGAGGGACUGGAACGGCCUUCAUUGAGCACAUUGGACCUCUACCCAGUGUGAAAACAUCACGAUGCGUCUGUGGGCGAGGAAGAAGGCUGAGCAGACUUUUGGGCAGGCCACCAACAGGAUGUGUCAUACUCCGACAAGUUGACAAGAAUGUUAUUUAAGAAGGGGCACCUG